rnacentral:rRNA from 1 species
CAAUAGCGUAUAUUAAAGUUGUUGCAGUUAAAAAGCUCGUAGUUGGAUUUCGGAGCCGACCGGGCGGUCUGUCGAGAGACACGCACUGCUCGGUGGCUCUUCCUCUCGGAGGCCCUGGCUGCCCUUAACUGGAGCGGGCAGGGGAUUCGGGACGUUUACUUUGAAAAAAUUAGAGUGUUCAAAGCAGGCCGGUGCUUGGAUACAUUAGCAUGGAAUAAUGGAAUAGGGCUUGGGUCCUAUUUUGUUGGUUUUCGGGACCGAGGUCAUGGUUAAGAGGGACAGUUGGGGGCAUUCGUAUUCAAUUGUCAGAGGUGAAAUUCUUGGAUUUAUGGAAGACGAACAACUGCGAAAGCAUUUGCCAAGGAUGUUUUCAUUGA